UUCAGUAAUGUAAUGCUCUCUGAAUAUGAAUGAGUAACUAUUUGCUCUCAACUUCCUUAACACAGGUCAAGAAUUGCAAGGUUUGGUUUCUCCUUUAAAAAAGGAAAAGGAAUACCUCCUGCAGUUUACCUCCCAAAGGCUUCUCUCCUGUAUGCAAUGAUAAAAUAUGAUCCUGAUGAGAGAAUUGCUGCCCAUCAAGCAUUACAGCACCCUUAUUUUCAAGAACUCUGGCAAGUGACUUCGAAUCACUUCAAUCUUGAAGACUAAAAUUAAAAAGUGGGGGGAGCCCUAUAUGCUUAUUAUUUAAAGUGGACUGAAAUGAAGUUUGCUUACAGUGGUAGUACUAAGCUUGCAAUACAAUGAACAUAAUUCAGUUAUUUGCACUGAGUCCAUACUUCACCUAAAGCAGAGCUGAUGUUUUACUCUUCUUUUUUCCUCAAACUUUUUAGGGCAGGUGAAACACAAAAAAUUAAGAUUACUGAGAAAUACAUCAGGGCAGGUAAUUCUGUGUUUGUGGCACAUUUCAAUGGCAAGUCAAAAGACAGGUAAUAUUUAAGUGGAAGAAUUGGCAGACCACUUAGAGAAAGUAAUUUGUGGCAUUGAGCUUGUUAGCUAGAAACAAAUGUUUUACUUAAGCUGACUUAAGGUUUUAUUGAGUCUGCCUGAACACUAAUCUUGAUUUGGUUUCCCCCUGCUCCCAAGCCCUGAAAACACAUGAGUUAGAAUUUAGAAGCUGUGAUACCACACAAUCCCUUCAGCAGACUUUUAUCAUAGUUGCUUUUACUUAAAGAAUCACUUCCACAUGUUUGGUUUUUUUUUAAUAUAAUAAUCUUUUUGCUAUCUUUGAACUAAAGAGCUUUAUAGAAGAAGUUGUAGCAGAGGCACAAAGUGCUUUUGCCUUUCUUCUCAGGCCUUCAGUCUACAUCUUGAGCAAGUAAUUUUUUUUACUUAAUUAUCCUAUACUUAGAUGAUAUCCUAAAAGAUAUGAAAAUGAAGAAAAUAAGAAAAUGGGAAAAUCCUAAACUUGUAUUUGACAUUGGAAAUUAAAAUAAAAAAAUCUGAUUAAAAGUUCUGGCAAACUAAAACUCAAGUUUAUGUUCAAGCUAUGUGAAAAAUACUCAAUAUACUCACUCUGAAGAGUUCCCUGUAUCAGCAAGGUGAGACAGAAGUCAGUACUAUGUGAAAAUCCCUCAAAUACAGGUUUUUCUCAAAAAAGCAAACUGCAUUAGCAAAAAAAAAAAAAAAAAUUAUGAAUUAUUUUCUGCUGUGCAUUUAACCUCAAAGGCACAAAUUCUCCUUCCAUAGAAGCAGCGACUUUUUCCACCAGUUUAACUCUGCGGUUCAUCAAUGUAGGCUUUGUAAGGAAUUCCUUUGGGAAAAACUGCAAGAAAUAUCAAGUGAGGCAGGAAUUUUUAAAAAAGAAUUAGCUGAAGUGGCAUUUGGCAGAGCUCAGUGAGCUCAGUACACACCCUGCAUCGAGCUUUUUAUUUUCCUUUUAGAACCUGAUGAAGGAGAAGGUUUGUUAAAAAUAACAUGAAAAGAUUCUUUGAGCUUCAGUAUUAGAAUGGAAUAUUAUCUACAAAAUACAGGAUUUCAUAUUACAUUAUAAAUGACAGCUAACCUUUGUAUAGCAUUAGAUGUAAAAAAAUCUUUAUUUUUCAGUCAGCUGUGGCAAGUGCUCACCUCCUGUGUUCAGUAACUUCAACCUCCACUUUUACUGAGGAUGUGCCGAUUAUGAAUAGUAAGAGUUGGAAAAUAUUAUGAAGAGCUGUGUCUAUAGUAGAACUCAGAGUUCUUUUCAGGUUCAUAACCAUGCUUUGCAGACAAAGAGAAAUAAGCACUAUUCUACUAUCAGAUUUACACUGGAACACAAUCAGUUUUUGGGAAACAAAAUGAAGAGUUAUUCAUUUUCCUACAACUCCUCUAAAAAUCCUUGCUCUGCAUUAAUUCUGCAACUGUGAACAGGCAAGCCAGAGGAUCACCAAGUGGAAAGAAUCUGACAACCGGUACCCUUUUGUUACUGCAGACAGGGGAGAGGUCAGAAGUUUUGUAUAUCCUCCCAAGUACUGAAUUUCAGAAGAGACCUCAUAUUUCACAUAGGAACAGCAAAAUAAUUCAGUUUUAGGCACAGAAGUUUUACCAAAGUUACGAGUGUUCUCAGUGGGCCCUGAGUAACAAAAAGAUUCUGCAGAAUUUGCCAUUGUAUUGCAGCCUUUCAAGCAAGGGCAGUUUAAGAAAUCAUGUUAGGUGCAACAUAGGAAACUUAAGAAAGUCAUGUUAGAAGAGCAAAAGAAGGCUCAAAAGUUUGAUGCAGAAGCUACUCUUAAGAAUCUGAUCUGUUGUACAAAGCGUGUGGUACUAGAAUAUCUGUAAUUGCAUUCUCUGGGAAUAAUACAAUAGAUAAGGUUAUAAAAAAGCCACAGAAACCUCCUGCCUCUAAAUGAAUAAAGAAACUGGGCUGCAAUGCUUUCUGUGAUGAAACCAUCCAGCCUUGGCAACAAGGUGGUAAAAGAUGGAAGAAAAGCUGCAGCAAUGAAUAGUGCAACAGCAGAGCUGUACAGUUCAACAACCGUGACCAAAGAGUUGAGACAUGAGCACUGCAGAUCUCCAUGUGGUACAGUGCAUCAACUCAGAGCUAAGCAACAAACACAUCACACCAAGCGAGCAGCAGAAACAAAUUAAGAGAUUGUUCAAAAAAGUUCUGAAAAUAAAGGGAGUCUUUUAUUA